UUCGUAGUCAAAAGGAUAACAGUCCAGACUUCUGAUUAAGGUCCCUAAAGUAAUGCUAAGUGGAAAAAGAGGUGUCUUUACUUAUACAUCCAGGAGGUUUGCCUAGAAGCAGCAAUCCUUUAAAGAAAGCGUAACAGCUCACUGGACUAGUGAAGAUGCGCUGAAGAUGUAACGGGGCUAAGCAUUAUACCGAAAUCGAAGACCAGUGUAGUAAUACACUGUGUGGUAGGAGAGUGUUCUUACAGGAUGAAGCUACAUCGCGAGAUGUGGUCGACUAGUAAGAAGUAAAAAUGCUGACAUGAGUAACGCUUAUUGAUGAAAAUUCAAUAUAUCGAAACCCUAAGGAUUCCUACGCAACGUUCAUCGUCGUAGGGUUAGUCGGGACCUAAGGCUUAUCCAGAAAUGGAGAGUCGAUGGAUAACUGGUUAAUAUUCCAGUACUUAUAUAUAGAGUGAUGGGGUGACGCAUUGAGAUUUGUGAGAGCUUAUUAAGGAUUUAAGUCGAAAGAACAAUGUUUUUAUAGCGUUAGCUAUAAAGGUAGUUGCAGGAAAAUCCACAACUAUUGAUACUGAGUUUGAUCGGGAUUCAAUUCCUCGGAAUUGGAAAUUCUCAUCGUUUUGGUGCCGAGAAAAACUUCUAAACUUAAUCUUUAUGUAACCCGUACUCAGAUCAGACACUUGUGGGGUGGUAGAGAAUACUAAGAUAAUCGAGAUAAUUAAUGGGUAAGGAACUUGGCAAAUUAGCGGACGUACUUUCGAAAUAAGUCCUGUCCCGAGCAAUCGGGAUCGCAGCGAAAGAGAUGGGGGGAACUGUUUAUCAAAAACACAGCUCGCUGCUAACUCGUAAGAGGAUGUAUAGCGGGUGAUGCCUGUCCAAUGCCAGAAUGUUAUGCUCUCUUGUGCAAGCUCGAGGGUUAAGCACUGGUGAAUGACGGCCGUAACUAUGACGGUCCUAAGGUAGCGAAAUUCCUUGUCAGGUAAGUUCUGACGCGCAUGAAUGGCAUAAUCAUCCCCAUGCUGUCUUACCCUUAGACUCGGUGAAAUUACAUUCCCGGUAAAAAUGCCGGGUAGUCACAGUUAGACGGAAAGACCCUGUGAAGCUUUACUGUAGAUUGAUAUUGGAUUGUAGCAUGUCUUGCUCAGUAUAGGUGGGAGGCUUUGAUGUUUCAACUUCGGUUGGGGCGGAGCCAAUAGUGAGAUACCACCCAAAAUAUGUAGCAAUUCUAAUCCCUAGGUUGGGAGACAGUUUCAGUUGGACAGUUUACCUGGGGCGGGUGCCUCCUAAAAAGUAGCGGAGGCGUGCAAAGGUUUGCUUACUACGGAUGGAAACCGUGGUGAAUGUGUAUUCGCAUAAGCAAGCUUGACUGUGAGACUGACAGGUCGAGCAGAUACGAAAGUAGGCGAAAGUGAUCCGGAUCUUCCAAGUGGAAGGGGAUCCGCUCAACGGA
rnacentral:rRNA from 1 species